CUUAAACAGCCCGUCUGGAAACACGGACCAAGGAGUCUAGCAUGGAAGCGAGUGUUAGGGUGCCAAACCCGAACGCGCAAUGAAAGUGAAGGCCUGCUUGCAGGCUGAGGUGGGAUCCCGCAAGGGCGCACCAUCGACCGAUCACAUUUUCGGAUGAGAUUUGAGUAUGAGCUUUUCUGCUGGGACCCGAAAGAUGGUGAACUAUGCCUGAAUAGGGCGAAGCCAGGGGAAACUCUGGUGGAGGCUCGUAGCGAUACUGACGUGCAAAUCGUUCGUCGGAUUUGGGUAUAGGGGCGAAAGACUAAUCGAAC
rnacentral:rRNA from 1 species